CAAGUCGAGCGGGCGUAGCAAUACGUCAGCGGCAGACGGGUGAGUAACGCGUGGGAACGUACCUUUUGGUUCGGAACAACCCAGGGAAACUUGGGCUAAUACCGGAUAAGCCCUUACGGGGAAAGAUUAUCGCCGAAAGAUCGGCCCGCGUCUGAUUAGCUAGUUGGUGAGGUAAUGGCUCACCAAGGCGACGAUCAGUAGCUGGUCUGAGAGGAUGAUCAGCCACAUUGGGACUGAGACACGGCCCAAACUCCUACGGGAGGCAGCAGUGGGGAAUAUUGGACAAUGGGCGCAAGCCUGAUCCAGCCAUGCCGCGUGAGUGAUGAAGGCCCUAGGGUUGUAAAGCUCUUUUGUGCGGGAAGAUAAUGACGGUACCGCAAGAAUAAGCCCCGGCUAACUUCGUGCCAGCAGCCGCGGUAAUACGAAGGGGGCUAGCGUUGCUCGGAAUCACUGGGCGUAAAGGGUGCGUAGGCGGGUCUUUAAGUCAGGGGUGAAAUCCUGGAGCUCAACUCCAGAACUGCCUUUGAUACUGAAGAUCUUGAGUCCGGGAGAGGUGAGUGGAACUGCGAGUGUAGAGGUGAAAUUCGUAGAUAUUCGCAAGAACACCAGUGGCGAAGGCGGCUCACUGGCCCGGUACUGACGCUGAGGCACGAAAGCGUGGGGAGCAAACAGGAUUAGAUACCUGGUAGUCCACGCCGUAAACGAUGAAUGCCAGCCGUUAGUGGGUUUACUCACUAGU
rnacentral:rRNA from 1 species